CAGAAUAUAUAGGAAACUUAGAUGUAACAAAGAAGAAACUGAGAAGUUUUAUAAUAACAAUAUUCUCUGUCUCUCUAAAACAGUAACAAAAUAUGCACAGUUUUAGAAGAUUUCUCUCGAAAUUAUAAAGAACAUUAAUUAAAACAUUAUUGAAACUGCUCUAAAGCAAAGAAUUCUAAAUAACGUUUAUACCAAAACCUGAUAAAUGUACAUGAGCUAGAAAAUUUUUAAAAAUCUAUCUUAUUUAUGAAUAUUAAAGCAAAAAUCCUGCAUAAAAUGAGAAAACAGGAUUCAGCAACCCACUAAAAAUUAUCCACAAUGACUAACUGCACUUUAUUUCAAUACUAUACAACUGGUUCAAUAUUAAAAAACUAAUAUAACUCACCAACAUAAUAGGUCAAAUGAGAAGAAUAUCAUAAUCCCUCUACCCCAUAGAUGUUAAAAAGGCAUUUAAUAAAGUUUAGUAAUAAUUUCUGGUAAAGUUUUCUUAAUAAUAUAAGAACAAAUUGGUAACUCCUUAGCAGAAUCAAAAAAAUUUAUUUUAAACCAGAAGCCAAUAAUUUGCUUAAUGAGAAAACAGUAAUACUAGUCCCAUUAAAAUGAAGAAUAAGAUAAAGGCAACAUUAUUAAAUAUUUUUUGACAGUACCAGUAAAUGCAUUUAGUACAAAAAAGAAAUAUAAGGUAUAAAAACUGAAAAUUAGGAGAUAUAAUUACAUUAAUACAGGAUAACUGUAUAAUUGGAACAUAUAUAAUAAUUUAAAUAUUAGAAACAAAGUAUGGCAAUUUUCAAAAGUAAUACACACAAAAAUAACUUUCCUGUAUGUAAACAAGUUAGAAAAUAUAAAAUAGUAAAUAUUCUAUUUGAAAUUGCUAUUCUCACAACAAAAAUAUUUAGUUUUAGCAACAAAAUAAAAUACCUAACAAUAAACUUAGAAACGGUGCAGAAAAAAAAAAAUUAAAACUAUAAUAAAGGAGAUAAAGGAAAACUAGGAUAAAUGGUGAAACAAAUCUUAUUAUUGGACAGGAAGGUGCAAUUUUAAAAGUAUGUUACUCUUCCUUAAGUUAAUCUAUAAAUUAAUGUGAUCACAAUAAAGUUACCAGUUUAUUUAUUUUAGGACAACUAGGAAAGCUUAUUUUAGAUUCCAUAUAGAGACAUAAUAAGGCAAACGUAGCCAGAAAAAUCUUGAACACAGUAAAACAGUAAGGAACUAAGUUUAUCACACAACAGAAUUAUACUUUAAAAGCUAUAGUAAUAGAGUUUCAUGCUGGCAUAUCAAAAGACAGAUUAAUGGAACAGAAUUCAAAAUUGGACCUAAAAGCUUAGUAUAUCAUAAAUGUGGCAUUGUAAGUGGGUAGAAAAAGAUAAUUCAUUUAAUAAAUUUUGUUGGAACAACUCACCAGGCAUUUAAUAAUAGGACUGGAUUGGAAGUUUACUUCUUAUAUCAAAAUGGAUUCCUGAUGGAUCAAAAAUUUAAUCACAAAAAAUACACUUGGACACUACUAAGAAGUAUGAAAAUUUCAAAACCCCAGAAAUCAUUUAAAAAUGAUAGACAAAGUAACUACAUAAAAAUUACAAAUUUAUGCAUGACAAAGACAAAAAGGCAAAUGAAAAACUGAGAAAAAUAGCAUGUAACAUAUAAGACACAGUAAUCAAAUCUCCUGCAUAGGCAGAAAGCACUUAGAGAUCGAGAAGAAAAAAAGUCUAAUCAAUAGCAAAAUGGGCAAAGGAUUUCAUCAGGUAGCUUAUAUAAAGUCAGUAGAUAAAAUGUUCCAAUCUCAUCCAUAAAGAAUACAUGAACAAAAAACACAUAUCAAGUAAACAAUAUCAGAUUGUCAAAAACCAGAAUGAGUGAUUAACAGUAUUGAUGAGAGUAUGGGAAAAUAGGUACUCUCAUUGUGCAGCACUCAGAUGGCCUAGGUUGUCCAAACCCUGUAUAUCCAAAGAAAGAUUUGGACCUUGUCCAACUCCUGGGAGAUAACCUCUAAGACCCUGAAAUAUUCUGCCUGUUCAGAGUUUCUUUGUCUACUUGGGGCCUUGGGCUACAUCAGAUAGUUUAUGCUAAUAAUGUGAGUUGUGGUGGGGGGCUCUGGGCCACAUUAUAUUAAUUUUGGAUGGAGAGGCGGGGGACUGAAUAACUAAAGCCAGCCACGUGGGCAUUCCAUACAGACAUAACUGGUCCCUAAUAGAAACUCUGGACACCGAGGCUGGAUGAGCUUCCCUGAUUAGCAGUACUUCAUGAGUGUUAUCUCACAUCAUGACUGGAGGAAGUAAGUGCUGUCUAUAAAACUCCACCAGGAGAGGACAACUGGAAGCCCCCAUCUAGUCUCUCCUGGACUCUGCCCUAAAUUAAUUCAGCUGAUUUUAGUCUGUAUCAUUUCACUGUAACAAGCCAUAACCAUUAAUGUCAUGGUUUUUCUGAAUUUCUCGAGUCCUUUUAAUGAAUCAUUGAACCUUGGGGUGGUCUUCAGGACUCCUGAUCACAGGUGACAUCAGAAGUGGGAUUCACUAGAAUUACCCUGACUCACUGAAAUGUGGUGAAAGAGUGGUUUGGGAAAAGGAAGGGUAAGAGGGUAGGAGUUGACAAACCUUUGAUUCUGUUUGGCCACUGGGCCACCCAUGGUGUGAAGUAGCAGCUGUGUUGCAAUCAGUUACUAGAAGUAAAAGUCACCACUGGAAUUUAGAAAUGAUAAAUCUAACUCCCAAAGAGUUGGCUCACUGGAUGCAUAAGGAAAUGCAAAAUGACAAGAAACAAGCUAAACAUACAAUCUCUCAGUUAUUAUGUGUAAUAGCUAAAAUUACAGUAAAGUGUUGAGGCAAAUCCUGACACUGGGCCAAGCUUGAAUUUCAGCUGGUCCAAGCUACAGACACUAGCUUCAGGGUUUCCAACAAAGGGACAAAUAACAUGCUGAAAAAACUGAGAGCUAAAAUAACAUGAGUCAUGAAAGAAUAGGGAAAGACAAAAGGAAGAAUCAAGGGACUCAUCCCAGCAGGUUGGACACUGAUGGGAUCAAAGGUCUUAAUGAAACACUAUUGGAGAUUACAUAGACCAAUGGGAGCUCCUGGCAUACCCCGACUUUGAAGAGCUUUAAACAAAUCUGUUCUAUUUACCUUAGUCUGGAGGAAUUAACAAAGCUGAAAGGCAAAAAGGACAAUAAAAAAUGUUACCUCAAAUCAUCUGUGGCAAUUGUCUCACAAACUAAUAUGGAUAGACUGAUGAAAAGGGUCAGGGUCCUUUAGUCUGAUCCUUGUUUGGGGACAUGGGCUAUAUGCACGUGUGGUUAAAAUGGAAAGGGGGUGGAGAACAAGCUUUUCUGGGACUCUUUGACAUGGCAGACCAAUGCACUGAGGUUCCAAAAUCUGUUGGUGAUAUCCUAAUGUGGACUACAGUUAGGUUGGGAGGACUUAGCCAUGAAAUGGUUGAUGAAAUUAAGGUGAAAGUUGAGAUUAAAACGGAAAUAUUUAAAUGGACUUCAUGUGAACUGGAUGUAUCUCCUUUACCUGAAUGUAUUGGGAUGGAUUUUAUAUCUGAUUGGGGAACACUUCCCUACCUAAUAUUGUAAAACUGAAGGCAUGUAAAUUUGCCCUUUAUCCAGUAUACUGGCUAAAUGGGAACCUAUAGAAUUGUCCAAGCCGACAGAUUUUAGUUGGAAAUAGUAUAGAAUACCUGGUGCACAAAAAUAGAGUACACCUUUAAUCAAUGACGUGUUAGAAACUGGGCUGCUGGCACCGACACAUUUUCUCUACAGUAGCCCUGUAUGGGCCAGAGAUUGGGGCUUAUGGAAAAAGCCUGUGAGCACCAUCCAGCAGUGACUGCCGGAAUUUGGACCAGAAAUUGUUCGGAUGCAGCUGUAAGAUAUACAGCAUUUGAGAACCAAUUACUAACUUGCUAUUGGACAUUAGUUGAAAAUGCCCCUGUGACUGAAUGUAUUAGUCAGGGUUCUUCAGAAAAAAUAGAACCAGUAGUGUGUGUGUAUUUAUUAUAUCAGUGAAUAUACACAUAUGCGUAUAUACAUUGUCACAAAUUAUGGAGACUGAGAAGUCUCACAAUCUGCUGUGUGCAAGCUGUAGUACUCGGAAAGCUGGUGGUGUAAUCCAGUCCAAGUCCAAAAGCCUGAGAACUAGAAGCUCUGAUGUCUGGGGCAGAUGAUGAAUAUCCCAGUUCAAGAAGAGAGCUCUCACCCUUCCUCCAUCCUUUUGUUCUAUUCAAGCAGGCCCUCAAUAGAUUGGAUGAUGCCCCACCUCCUUAUAUUGGUGAUGGUGGAUCUUCUUUACUGAAUCUACCAAUUCAAAUGCUAAUCUAUUCCAGAAACACCCUCAGAGGCACAUCCAGAAAUAAUGUUUUACCAGCUAUCUGGGCAUCCCGUGGCCCAGUCAAGCUGACACAUAAAAUUAACCAUUAUACUGAAGGACAUAUAACCGUGAAAGCUGAAAUGCCCACAAUGCCUUAAGUGAUGUGAAAGAAACACUCUAAUAAGGCAGUGCCCAGAAGGGCUCCAUAAUAAAUGGAAACGGUUUAUACAGGACAAUGUUACUGGGACAGUGCAAGGAGAUACUCAUUCUGUUCAUGUGCAGGAGGUCUCUUUUCCACUGGAGCCUACUUUGAAAUCAGCUGAGGAGCCACCAAAUCCUAUGGCCACCUGGGCUGUGCCCUAUGAACAGCUCUCUAUUGAAAGAGAGCUACUAGGUUGACUGAUGGCAGUUCCAAGGUGGAUAAUCAACAUCCUGUUUGGAAGACUACUGUACUACAUCAGAUGAUGGAAAAGUUCUGAUUGAGGAAGGUAAGAACAAUCUGCUCAGGCUGAACUAUAUGCUGUCCUUGCAGUGAUGAAAAAACUGAACAAGUAUAAAAGUUCCAUUUAAAAAUAAUCAAAGUUUGGGUGUGCCAAUGGCUGGCCAUAUGGUCAAAUAGAUGGGUGAUGAAAAACUAGUCUAUUAGAUGCCCCAUGUGGGGCACCAUCCUAUGGAAAUCACCAUGGAAUUUAGGGGCACAUUAAAGUAGGACAUGUCAGUGCCCACCAGAAGAACACUCUUCCAGGAUCAGAUGAUGACUGGACCCAGUAAGUGGAAAACUUGGUGUGUUUACUUGAGGUGGGCAUGUGGGUCCAUGAAAUAAAUGGAAAUGGGAGAGGUGUAGGAAUGUAGGCAUGGGCUGAUUGUUGGCAUAUUUCUCUUACUCCCUCUGAGGCACAAAAUACAAAUAAAUGCUUCAAGAGAGACGGAGACCGCAGGUGGCUAUGGGCAGAUUUCCUGGGGAGCAGGUGGCACACACAACUGACAAGUAACUACAUCGGAAUGCUGUGGUAGCCCCCAGAGACUAUAAAAGGGUCCUGACAGGACUAGACAUUUACUCUGGACUAGGCUUUGCACCCCCAGAGGUAGAUGGAUACAAAAUGCUUAGAAUACUGUAAAAGGACUGAAACAGAAGAUACUGUGGCAAUUUGGACCAUCAAGUUAUAUUUCUUCAGACCAAGAAACACACUUUACAGCCCAUAGUGUCUAAUGAUGGGCAAAAAGAUAUCACAUCAAAAUGGACUAGUGGUUUACUAGAGAAUUGGAAAAGGUAAUUGAAACUUUUUUUUUUGUCUAAAAUAGGGGGUGAUAAAGGCAGGAAGGGCUGACAUAUAUACCUUCAUGUGUAUGCACAUUCAACAUGAGGGGGACAAGAGUGGGUCCCCACUUGACAAAUUCUUUUAUGGUGGAUCUGGAGAAGGGAUAGAGGAGGACACUGGUACAAACUACAAAAUGAUUUCUCCAGUCACCUCAACUUUUCUUUUUUUUUCCAGCCUGGGGCAGUGGUUGGAGACUGCAGGUGCUAGAAACAGGAAUCAUUCUUAAGCAAGAAACUUACCUUUCAACCUUUAUGUCGGAAUUGCUAUGGGCCUAACGGGGUGGACUGUGUCUUCACCCCACCUGGCAAAAUUCAGAUUGAUAGUGAAUGCAGCUGUAUUUCCUGGUGGUCAAGAUAGCCCACUAGUUCUGUACCUAUAUAUCCUUACUCUAAAUAAAAGGGAAUGAGCUGAAAGGAAGCACGAGCUAGACUGGUAUUACUGCUGGCAAUCUAGACCAGGACAGUGGCUAAGCCUAACAACUCUUCCAAAGGUGAAAACGUUUGGGUAAAAAAUUAUGACAAGUGAAAAAUAGGAGAAAUAGCCAAGGCACAGGAAUAAAUAAAUGAAAUAGGUAAUGAGGAAAAUCUAGUAUUACACUGGUGUUUUGAGAGAGGCUCAGAGCAAGAGACUGUAGUCUCUUAGCUUAAUUAUCCUAGAUGCCCAAAAAGGUAAAGUCAGUUUUCUAAGACUAGCCUUACUCUUAGAAGCUGAAAAGGUUGAAUGGAAGCCUGCAAACUUGAGUGGCAUUGCUCUGGGAGACAUUCUGGUCAUAAGAUAUAAUGAUGAACUGGACCAAUUAAUUGUUAAUGACAGAGGUAAUGAGCCAUUAUCUUUUGAUUCUUAUUUUUCAGGUUACAUCUACUACAAUACUGCAGAUACAGUAUAACAUUGGUAUUGCUGGUAUGAUUCCUCUCCCUUAGGAUUUGUUUCCCAUUUCAGGGAACAAACAAGAGUGCCCCAAAGAAGUUCUGAGAGGACUAUUAUCAGUGAUUGCCACAUUGAUUCAUUGGAUCAUAUAACCUUAGGGGUGUGCCUUCACUCUUUAUCUGACCUUCUUCUGGAUACAGCAAACACUUGUGGACCAGCUGCACUGAAGCAUUAAACAAGGUUGGUAAGUUACCAAGAAGCACACAAACCCUGUAACUUGAGCUGUGGAAAGUUAGACAUGCAAUACAAGAGGACUAACAUUAGAUUAACAUGCCUAUUCUGUAGAAAGGAUUUAAUAGAAUGAGUUACAGACGUCUGAAAGAAUGACUAGUGGCUGGGAACUCCCAGCUCCCAGCAGCUGACUCUACACUGAAGGCAUCCUUUUCACUUUGUUUUCCUGUGGUGGAAAAAGAAGUAUUUACCAGUCUCACAUUCUUAUUAUAGAAGUUAUUAAACAUGUUAUUUCAAUGCACCACUGCAUAUAUCUGAUAUGUAUCACUGGCUGGUGGCAACUAGCUCUUCAAUGCCACAGGCUACAACACACAAGAAAAUCUAAGGUAUGCAAAACACAUCAGUUCAACAUUCAGACAAAUUAAAAGUGCUUUAAAGAGACAUUAACACCAAAUAUGGUACGUACCUAAA
rnacentral:lncRNA from 1 species